rnacentral:rRNA from 1 species
UGGGGGAUAUUGCACAAUGGGGGAAACCCUGAUGCAGCGACGCCGCGUGUGGGAAGACGGUCCUCUGGAUUGUAAACCACUGUCCCCAGGGACGAAGAUGACGGUACCUGGGGAGGAAGCUCCGGCUAACUACGUGCCAGCAGCCGCGGUAAUACGUAGGGAGCGAGCGUUGUCCGGAAUUACUGGGUGUAAAGGGAGCGUAGGCGGGAUGGCAAGUUGGGUGUCAAAUCUACCGGCUCAACCGGUAGCCGCACUCAAAACUGCCGUUCUUGAGUGAAGUAGAGGCAGGCGGAAUUCCUAGUGUAGCGGUGAAAUGCGUAGAUAUUAGGAGGAACACCAGUGGCGAAGGCGGCCUGCUGGGCUUUUACUGACGCUGAGGCUCGAAAGUGUGGGGAGCAAACAGG